CCUACGGGAGGCAGCAGUGGGGAAUAUUGGACAAUGGGGGCAACCCUGAUCCAGCCAUGCCGCGUGUGUGAAGAAGGCCCUCGGGUUGUAAAGCACUUUCAGUGAGGAAGAACGCCUGGUGGUUAAUACCCAUCAGGAAAGACAUCACUCACAGAAGAAGCACCGGCUAACUCCGUGCCAGCAGCCGCGGUAAUACGGAGGGUGCGAGCGUUAAUCGGAAUUACUGGGCGUAAAGCGCGCGUAGGUGGCUUGAUAAGCCGGUUGUGAAAGCCCCGGGCUCAACCUGGGAACGGCAUCCGGAACUGUCAAGCUAGAGUGCAGGAGAGGAAGGUAGAAUUCCCGGUGUAGCGGUGAAAUGCGUAGAGAUCGGGAGGAAUACCAGUGGCGAAGGCGGCCUUCUGGACUGAAACUGACACUGAGGUACGAAAGCGUGGGUAGCAAACAGGAUUAGAUACCCCUGUAGUC
rnacentral:rRNA from 1 species